rnacentral:rRNA from 1 species
AUUGAACGCUGGCGGCAUGCUUUACACAUGCAAGUCGAACGGUAACAGCACUUCGGUGGCUGACGAGUGGCGAACGGGUGAGUAAUACAUCGGAACGUGCCUAGUAGUGGGGGAUAACUACUCGAAAGAGUAGCUAAUACCGCAUGAGAUCUAAGGAUGAAAGCAGGGGACCUUCGGGCCUUGCGCUACUAGAGCGGCUGAUGGCAGAGGAGGUUGUUGGUGGGAUAAAAGCUUACCAAGCCGACGAUCUGUAGCUGGUGUGAGAGGACGACCAGCCACACUGGGACUGAGCCACGGACCAGACUCCUACGGGAGGCAGCAGUGGGGAAUGUUGGACAAUGGGCGCAAGCCUGAUCCAGCAAUGCCGCGUGCAGGAUGAAGGCCUUCGGGUUGUAAACUGCUUUUGUACGGAACGAAAAGCCCUCUUCUAAUACAGGAGGGUCAUGACGGUACCGUAAGAAUAAGCACCGGCUAACUACGUG